GGAGAGAUGCGAGAGCGGUCGAAUCGGGCGGUCUCGAAAACCGUUGUACCGCAAGGUACCGGGGGUUCGAAUCCCCCUCUCUCCG
rfam:Treponema sp. OMZ 838, complete genome.